rnacentral:rRNA from 1 species
CCCUUAGAUGUUCGGGCCGCACGCGCGCUACACUGAAGGAAUCAGCACGUCUUUCUCCUUGUCCGAAAGGACUGGGUAACCCGCUGAACCUCCUUCGUGCUAGGGAUUGGGGCUUGUAAUUCUUCCCCAUGAACGAGGAAUUCCCAGUAAGCGCGAGUCAUAAGCUCGCGUUGAUUACGUCCCUGCCCUUUGUACACACCGCCCGUCGCUACUACCGAUUGGAUGGUUUAGUGAGAUCCUCGGAUUGGUCCCGGAGCGGCCUCUGGUCGUGCCGGAGUGCCGAAAAGAAUGUCGAACUUGAUCAUCUAGAGGAAGUAAAAGUCGUAACA